rnacentral:sRNA from 1 species
UGCAAUAGGUCUAAAUGCAGAUGCGCUG